UGUGAACCCUCCUGCAGUCCAGUUUUGGGUUGCAGAUCAGAGCUAGAGGUUUCCAGCUCCUGAAGCUGCUGAUUGCCUUUCCCAGCUUGCUGAAGUUCCUGAAGUGCUGAAAAGAGUUGCUGGGGGGAUGUUUAUAAAAUCAAAAUAUCCUAAAGUGGAGAGGACCUGCAGGGAUCAUCGAGUCCAGCUCCUGGUCCUGCUCAGGACACCCCAACAAUCCCACCCGGUGCCUGGGAUGGUUUUCCAAGCUCUUCUUGGACUCUGGCAGGCUUGUGCCAUGAACAAUUCCUUGGGGAAUCUGUUCCAGCACCCGACCACCCACUGGGGAAGAGUAUUCUGCCAACAAAUGACCUCGAUGGGCCAAGAAGAGGCACUUCCAGAGGUCCUGGUAUUUGAAACGAAAGCACAAGGCAGUAAUUCCUGUGUCAGUGUUUUUACAACAGGACAAAGAAAUAAAGUUCCUUGGUGUUACAGAGGAAACGAGGAGUUUUAUGCUUGACCCUUCUCGUUGUCAUACUCCAUUGCUAACUCAGCUGGACCGAAUGCAGAAAACCAAAUCCCAGAUUAUUCUGAGUUGGAAGGGACCCAGCAGGAUCAUCAAAGUCCAGCUCCUGAAAAUCCUACAAGACCUGUGGAAUGGGGGAGGAAUUGUGGACUUGGCUGAGCAAAGAGACAAAGAGAGGCCGUCCUAAACUUUGGGCUCUUGGGCUGAGGGUUGUCACUAUAGGACACAAAAUAAUAUGAUGUGGAUGUGCAGCUUUUUCAAGGUGAAAAAAGAAUUUUUGAUUUUUAAUUCUAAUAUUUAUAGAUUUUUAGAAGUGACAGUGGACUGGAGGGUGACAGUGCCACCUCUCCAAUGACACUGCACAAACCAACAGUCCAUCAAAUUUUUCUUCUUCUAUAAAAGAAUGCAGAAUAAUAAGCUAUUUAUAUAAAGUGUGUGAGAAAGUUUGUUAUAGGACUGUAAACAUCAGAAGGCUUUGAAAAACGUAGAAAUCAGGGUGACAGAGGGUGGCCAAUGUCACAAGCUGAGUGGUGUCCUGGGUGUCUCAUAUCCUGAAUAUCUCAUAUCCUGAAUAUCUCAUACCCCGAGUCCUGAGUUCUACUGUUCAGUGUGAGGAAAUACCUUACUGACAGGUUCAAAAAAUGUAUCCCCCAAAAUGAUGUUUUUCUAGAAAUUACUUGUUUGGGGUUUUGUUUAGUCAAAACUUGAGCAAUCUGUGAAUAAUUCUUCCUUCUCAGCUGGGCUUGGUCUCCACCUGCUCCUGAGAUGCUCUUUCAGGCAGUAGAACAGGGCAGGAGCUUUGCAGGAGCGGAGGCAAAGAACUGAUGGGAGUUUUCAC
rnacentral:lncRNA from 1 species